ensembl:lncRNA
CUUUGAAGUACAUUCACUUAAGAAAAUGACAUAAAUUUGCAAGUUGAGUUGCUAAUGUGCUUUUAUAUGUCUGGAGACUCAUGGACUGAGUUUGCAACUACCAUUCAUUAGUCCAUUCACACUUACACUUUUCUUUUUCCUCAUACACAGGUGGCUUCCAUUUGGCAUUUCACAGCAUUCCACCAGAGGUUUCUGCUAGCCAGGCUAGCAGAGAGUGCCACAAAUUUCUUUCAUGCAGAGCUGGAAGGAGUUCUGAGGCUCAGGGUUUGCAGAACUCCAAAGCAUGUACGCAUCAAAAGGAAGCACAGGACUGGAGUUACUCAGCAGCACCAGAAACUGGUGGGAUGGGAGUCUCUAAACCUCUACAAUUUCCUCACAGAGUGUACGAAGGAUGGAGCAAAGGGAACUUUGUGGAAUCUAUGGUAUUACCUCUCUCCCUCUGCUCAGACAUGGCAAGUAAAGCGUCCCAUGCAAACGUGGCUGAUGAAUCCAUUGUAAACACCCUCCCAUGCAGCUUGAGAGCGUGACUACACAACCAGCACAUACCUUUGGUUUGGAAUGAUCCUGCCAUUUAUAAAGCAGAGGAAGGUAUUUUAAUGUAUGCUUUCAUAGAUGUUUCUUUAUUCUGUUGCCUAGUGCAGGCCACAUAGGUCACAGUAUCCCUCCAGAAAGGUGUAGCGACAACUCUGUAGCCAAUUAUAGGACUGUCUUUGCCUUCUGCAUCUACUUCCACUGCUUUGUCCCAGUAAUUUACUAACUUUGCUGUAUGAACUUUGUGUUGGGGCUCCUUUCAUGAGCCAUUUGCAACUCUGAAUUCAUGCCCUAAAGAAAGGGAGUCUUAGCUGAGGAUUGAAAGCCAAAUGAGAAUGCAGAAAUUUUAAGAUAAAAUGACUGUUUACUUGGUUUUGUUUGUGGAUGUUAUAAUGUAUCUAUCUGUUCUUACAAAAGCAUUCCAUACAGUAUCACAUAAAUGCAGAUACUAAAGGCCCAACUGGUCACCCAGACCAUCCUCUUUGAGAAGAAAACACUGGUUGUCACAGUUCUCUGACAACAGUGUCAGUUCAAUGAGAAGAAAUUACAAAACUGAAGUGAGAAAAGGAGUUUCUUUUUUUCUUCUUGAUCACUGGCAAGGAAGGGGAAUGUGGAAAGGAAAGACUAAGACAUUUUGAACAGUCUGUGCAUGUCCAGCCCUGGAAUUUCAACCAAAAAGUGACUCGUUCAGAAGUUAAACUAAAAGAAAAUGGUGUACUGUUUGUAGAAGAUCCUUUUGAAGUUAAAUCUCCUCUCCUAUCUUUUAAGUAAAAAAUUUAAAUUACCAAGAAAAUAAACACUAGAUUUGAGGAUGGUAAAAUCA